UCCCAGACUCCUACGGGAGGCAGCAGUGGGGGAUAUUGCACAAUGGGGGGAACCCUGAUGCAGCGACGCCGCGUGGGUGAAGGAGCGUUUCGGCGCGUAAAGCCCUAUCGGCAGGGAAGAAGGAGGACGGUACCUGACUAAGAAGCCCCGACUAACUACGUGCCAGCAGCCGCGGUAAUACGUAGGGGGCAAGCGUUAUCCGGAUUUACUGGGUGUAAAGGGGGCGCAGACGGCAGCGCAAGCCAGGAGUGAAGGCCCGGGGCCCAACCCCGGGACUGCUCUUGGAACUGCGCGGCUGGAGUGCAGGAGGGGCAGGCGGAAUUCCUGGUGUAGCGGUGAAAUGCGUAGAUAUCAGGAGGAACACCGGUGGCGAAGGCGGCCUGCUGGACUGCGACUGACGUUGAGGCCCGAAAGCGUGGGGAGCAAACAGGAUUAGAUACCCGAGUA
rnacentral:rRNA from 1 species